rnacentral:piRNA from 1 species
UUACAACAUCACCAGGCAGAUGGUUUC